UGUGCGUGUUUGCCUCUCACACCAGGAAACUUUACACCUACGUGAGGUCAGAGGAUGACUUAAACACAUGUGAAUUUCUGUGUUCACCUGGUGUGGUACUUUCCCAGCAGAAGAAAAGAUCCAACUGUUCACAGGGCUCGGCACAAACCUGCAGAGACUUCACGAACACUGCUGGAACUCUCUGCUCCUGUCAGGUAGAUGAUACGAGGGGGUUUUCACAACAACAUGUUUUGACUUUGCAGCUGCAUUAGAAUAUAUCCUGCCAACACUGUCUGCUAACAUCAUGCAGCUCCACUGGAGGGUUUUAUGUGUAAAUAAUGGACAGAUGUACUUGAUAACAACCAGACCAGGAGAUGGAGACAAACCAGAAAGACUGCUCUCAUGUGGCAGGAGGAGGAUGAAGGAAAUGUCUGAAAUUGUACAGAGAUUUGCAGAAAAGUAGUUUCUUGCAUAAAUAUCUCAAUUUUAGCAUCAGGAUAUCCCCUCUGAACAAAUCUACAGAGAGGAUCAUUUCAUGUGCCAUGGAGGGCCGAGAGGCUGCAGGUUUUCUUUCCAACCCAAACCUCCACCAGGUGAUUUCACUGAUUGGUCCCUGCUCUCUGCUUGGAGGUAAGGUAAUCAGUGAAAUCACCUGGUGGAGUUUUGGGUUGGAAAGAAAACCUGCAGCCUCUCGGCUCUCCAUGGCACAUGAUUGCCCACCCCUGAUGUAGCACAUUACCCCAAACCUCAAGCAGGAAUUGAGGGAACUCUGUACAAGUAUUGGUAUCAGCAUCAGUAUCAGUUUAAGUAUUGGUAUCAGUAUCGGUAUACGUGGUUUUGUCAGAAUCAGUAUCUGUUCCAGUUUCAGUAUUAGCAUCCGUAUCAAUAUCAGUCCCAGAAUAAGUAUCAUUUUUGGUAUCAGGGCAAUUAUCGGUACCAGUAUCAUUAUCAUUAACAGUAUCAGUAUAGGUAUCAGUAUCAGUACCAGUUCCAGUAUCAGUCCCAGAAUAAAUAUUGCUAUUGGUAUCAGGAAAAUUAUCGGUACCAGUGUCAUUAUCAGGUUCAGUACUGGUAUAAGUAUCAGUAUUAUGUCAGUGUCGGUAUCGAUAUCAGUCCAAUAUUCACUAUCGAUUUGGUAUCAGUACCAGUGUCAACAUCAGUACUAGUACUGGUAUCGGCAUCAGUAGCAAUACCAGUGUAAGUAUCCGUUUCUGUAUUAGUACCAAAAUUAGUACUUCUGUCGGCAUUGGUAUGACCUUAAGUAUCAUUACCAGUAACUGAAUCGGUAUCAGUUCCAGUAUCAGUAUUGUUAAAAGUGUCAGUAUUGGUAUUGGUACCAGUAUUAAUAUCAGCUUUAGUAUCAUUAUCACUAACUGUGUCAGUAUAGGUAUCAGUAUUAUUAUCAGUAUCAGUACCAGUUGCAGUAUCACUAACAGUCCCAGAAUAUGUAUUGCUAUUGGUAUCAGGAAAAUUAUCGGUACCAGUGUCAUUAUCAGUUUCAGUACUGGUAUAAGUAUCAGUAUUAUGUCAGUGUCGGUAUCGAUAUCAGUCCCAUUUUCACAAUCGGUUUUGGUAUCAGUACUAGUAUCAUCAUCAGUACAAGUACUGGUAUCGGCAUCAGUACCAAUAUCAUUAUAAGUAUCAGUUUUUGUAUCAGUACCAAAACCAGAAUUUGUGUUGGCAUCGGUAUGACCUUUAGUAUCAGUAUCAGUAUCAGUACUAGUAUUAGUAUCAGAUUUAGUAUCAUUAUCAGUAGCAGUGUCAGUAUCUGUAUCAGUAUCAGGUAUAAAAAACUAGUUUAGCCCCAUGCCUAUUUUAUACCAAUCAGAAUCAAGUAUUUAACACAGUUAAAGUGAAGGGGUAAAAAAUGGCCUAAAAAUGAGAUUGAAAGCUCGUGAACUAAGUUAUCUGAUUUUCAUCCCUGAAUUGAGUCCUACCGCUGGCUCAGAAUUAGCUUUUACUAACCUAACACUCUUUAGUCGAGCCAAACAUUAUCAUGCACCCCCCUACCUUUGCCUUAAAUAUUUAUCCCUCACUUAUUGAAAAUUCUUUCAUCUCAGACAAGAAGUCUUUCUUGUAAUCCUGUCAUGUAUGUUUUAUAGCUCACACAUCCGCUCGUCCCUGUCCUGUCCUAUCUGAAAUCGCUUGCUUUGAUCUUUUGGGGAAAUACUGCAGAGUCUCUGGAGCAGGAACAUAAGCAUGCACAACAAGUCUCUGACACGCUUCCAAGCGUUUCCUCAGAGGACAAACAACCAACACAUCUGAAGGCAUUGGAAAUAACUGCUUGCAUUUCUUAUAAGGUGAUCACAAGGAUCAAGGUUUUAGACUCACGUUUUUCUGUUGCUGCAUCGCCCUAAAAGGAAAGCAGAAAUUUUAAACCCAGGUCUGAUCUACACAAACCGAGGCAAAGACACCAUGUUGAAAUCAUUACCAAACCUGCACGCUCCGGGCUCUGUUUCUCAGCCUCGUGCAGGUAGGAGCUGAAGUCAAACCUCAGCGCAUACUUGAGAUAUCUGGUGGCAGGAAUGUGUGUGUGUGUGUGUGUGUGGUGCUGCUUUCCAUCCUGAGGUGUGUUUUCAGGGUCUCGGGGCUGCAUGGAGGUCCCUGCUCCACAUUAAAGCCACAUGUCUGUGUUUUUCUUUCCGACAGGCGUAUCAUACCUGCAGCUCUCACACAUGCAUGCCGCUGUUGUUUCGGUGAAGGCCUCAUCGUUCCACGCUGCAGACCGUCAC